GGGCACUGGGAAUUUAACUGUUAUUGCUCAAGUUCUGGGUACCUGCCCGGAAGAGAAGAACUACAUUCCCCAGGGGACUUUGCAGUCACAGAGAGGAGAUACAACUCCUGGCAAGGUCACCUGAUGUGCUCUUCUUUGUCCGCUCUUCUUCGUGGGCUCUCCUCCCGUCUCCCUGCUGCUCACCUGGACUGCGCAUCUCACCUCAGCGUUGUGGUGAGGCCUCUCCACCUUUCGGACAUUCUCUCUCUCAUUAUAUUUGAUUGAUUAGCUUCAGUUCUAAUUAUAUUGUAUUAUGGUGUGUUAUCUUGCAUUCUGAUACUAUAUUUAGUAAAUUAGUUUGUUUCUCCUCAGAUCAUUGCCGCUGUUUUUAAUUAUUUUGGGGUCCCCUGUUCCCUUUUUCCGGAGGCACGGAUUUUGGCGAAAUCCCUCUGCCCCGCUAGUCAAAGAACUGGGCUGAACUAGCCUAUAAAUCAUUGACAAGGAACUUCAGCAACAUGAGAUGGAAGGGAGCUGCAGUGAUCCUCACGCAGUUCUUUACACCAAGACUUUUCGUAGGUGUGCUCUCCUGUCACCCAAUGCUGUACAUACUGCAUAAAGGACUGUUCUGUGAGAACACAAAAGGAGAAAAUAGUGCAAAAUAUGCUCUUUGCAGAACUGAUCACAGGUGAUUUGGAACCAGUCUUCCAUGUGGCAGGUGGCUCUGGAAGUGAAAGGGCUAUAAAAAAGAUAUUUGGAGACCUCUGCCUUUACUUCUCACCAGCUGUUUGUGCAAUAACAACGGAACAGCAAUUACAGACCAUCACUGAUGACUUUUUUUUAAAAGUCAAAAAACAGACUGAGAAUUCAAGAGGGAAUUACAGAGCCUCAUCUGUGAAGGACAGGAGAACCAGAUGAACUUCAAGCCCUUCCUGCAAUCUCUCCAUUUGGACUUGUUUCUGAAGAACACCAUCAGAGUACUGGUGCAGGAGGAGACAGGCCCUUCAGCCCUCCCAAUGGAAAUGUUCUUCACUUCUGCCUUUUGUGCACUCCCUGAAGUGAAAUGGGACACUUCCAGCUUCUCUCCUGUUAGCUAUCUGCUUGAUAACAGAAAGCUCAUAAGGACUCGUGUCAGGAAGAGGCAGAAAGAAUGAGCUUCUCUAGCCUUUUUUUCACAGGAUUUCCUGUGAAACAAUGUGCUCCUUUGCUUGGUUGAUGAACCAAGAGGGCUAUUAACAGGAGCAUUAAAAAAAUUAAUUAUGC
rnacentral:lncRNA from 1 species